rnacentral:rRNA from 1 species
AUUGAACGCUGGCGGCAGGCCUAACACAUGCAAGUCGAACGGCAGCACAGAAGAGCUUGCUCUUUGGGUGGCGAGUGGCGGACGGGUGAGUAAUGUCUGGGAAACUGCCCGAUGGAGGGGGAUAACUACUGGAAACGGUAGCUAAUACCGCAUAACGUCGCGAGACCAAAGUGGGGGACCUUCGGGCCUCACACCAUCGGAUGUGCCCAGAUGGGAUUAGCUAGUAGGUGGGGUAAUGGCUCACCUAGGGGACGAUCCCUAGCUGGUCUGAGGGGAUGACCAGCCACACUGGAACUGGUACACGGUCCAGACUCCUACGGGAGGCAGCAGUGGGGAAUAUUGCACAAUGGGCGCAAGCCUGAUGCAGCCAUGCCGCGUGUAUGAAGAAGGCCUUCGGGUUGUAAAGUACUUUCAGCGAGGAGGAAGGCAUUAAGGUUAAUAACCUUAGUGAUUGACGUUACUCGCAGAAGAAGCACCGGCUAACUCCGUGCCAGCCGCCGCGGUAA